rnacentral:lncRNA from 1 species
GAGUUGGUGAUGGACAGGGAGACCAGGCGUGCUGCAGUCCAUGGGGUCACGAAGAGUUGGACACAACUGAGCGACCGAACUGAACUGAUGCAUGUGAAUGGAACUGACUCCUCCUGAAAUCACUUUUCUUUGUCCUUUUGGGGGUUAUUUCCUAGAAGACAAGUCAGCUUUGUUAUUGUUUGAAUUUGGGCUGCUGGGGGUCAUGUGAAUGGAUGGCCGGGUGGCAUGCUGUGCCCCCAAGGAUGGUGUCCCCUUCUGUUGCAAAAUUUGCAAGACACUUUGUGGUGAUGUAGGCUCCCCAUGCCAUGGGGAAACCCCAACAGAACUUAACACUAGCAUGUCCUGCGAUCAUGCGGCUCUGUCUUUACUGACAUGGAAGACUUGAGGGGUGGGCAGGGGAGAAGCCAUCCUUCUCUCUGUAGAAAGAAACAUCUGGAAGGUGCUCAACUCACUAACAGUGGUGACUUUUGGGNNNNNNNNUUUGGGGUGAGUGUUACCUUCUUUAUGCUUUUCUGAUUUGGGUGGUAAAAAUAGGAUGUAUUGUGCAUGAGAAAUUUUUUUAAAUUUAUUUUUUGGAUGCUAGAGACAAACAUCUUUAUUAAAGAUAGCACCAAAAUUUUGGCAAACAUUUAAUAAUAGCAUCAUGCUGGAAUGGGUUUAUUUCCUAGCCACAGCAGACGCCUUAUCACACAUCUAGUGCAGGGCAGUCCAGGGCAAAGAUAACAUCCAAAACGUAGGAUGCAUCAGAGCUUCCGGGCCCUGCCGAUUCCUGGCUGGAGGAACCACAGCCUCUUGGAGUUUCUCGUAAAUAAAAAAAGUCAGAAGAGCUGCUCCUUGUUUUUUAUCUCUUGGCCAUCACUACAGCCCCUGGGCAAGUUUCCUCAUGCAAAAGGCUGUCUGACCCUAAGAGAACCCCUUUGGUAAGCGAGUCCAAUUAAUCAUGACAAAUAAACCCUCCCCCUCCGCAUCUGCCCCACCCCCAAAACCCAAGGAAAACCUUCAAAGAAGCAAUGUAGACAUAUUUCCAUUUCUUUAUUAGAAAGAGGCCUCUACGCUAUAGCCACCUCUCUCCAUUACUUUACACAUUUUUCUUUUUUCUUUUUUUCCCCUUAGAAUACUGUACAGCUGACACAAAAAAAUCCCAAGGCAGGAAAAUACAAACUGGCAUAUUUAAUCAAAACAAGCUCAUAUGAAGUAACAAGCAAAGUGAAAUGUCUGUCAAUGGUUUUAAUUACAGUACAAACAAUAUAAAUAAAGCGUCAUUGAGUCAUUGUGAAACAUAAACUUGCUGAAUGAGGUAAUAGAAAAUAACCGAAAGAAAAAACAAACAAAAAAAAAAGCCCAUCUCUGGAUAGACCCCAGGCUACGCUUCCAGCUUCUAUACAUGGUUAUUUACAGAGAGAAAUGCGCUAGAAUGCGCCGCAUCCAGGCCUUCCCUGGGACCUCCCCAGAAUGCCUCUUGGUCGUCACCUCUGACCUGCUCAGGCUUCCCUCUCGGUAACACACCCAGCCACAAGAUGGGAACCUGGUUCCAAGUCAGGGGCAGGAGAGCGGGGGUCUGUCUGGGGCAGGAAGCCACUCCCUGGGACCCACGUGGUGGUGCCAGCGUCUGGCAUGGCCGAACACCAGCCCUCCUGGGGCCGCCAGCCCGCACGCCUUUGAUCAAGGGCGCACAGCAUCGCUAGUAUUCGGGUGCUAAGCCAGGGCGAGGGCAGGAGCCUCAAGAAUUUGCUGUAUUUUAGACACAAAAACCUGGUUGAAGGAGAGAAACUGUGCUGCUUUUCAAUGUUUAGAGGAGGCGU